rnacentral:rRNA from 1 species
UGAUGGCAUGCGAAUCUCGAAAGCCUAUCUCAGUUCGGAUUGGAGGCUGAAACCCGCCUCCAUGAAGUUGGAUUCGCUAGUAAUCGCGCAUCAGCCAUGGCGCGGUGAAUACGUUCCCGGGCCGUUGUACACACCGCCCGUCAAGCCAUGGGAGCCGGGGGUGCCUGAAGUUCGUUACCGCAAGGAUCGACCUAGGGCAAAACUGGUGACUGGGGCUAAGUCGUAACAAGGUAUC